rnacentral:rRNA from 1 species
GAUUAAGUUAUUAAGGGCGCACGGUGGAUGCCUUGGCACUAGAAGCCGAUGAAGGACGUUACUAACGACGAUAUGCUUUGGGGAGCUGUAAGUAAGCUUUGAUCCAGAGAUUUCCGAAUGGGGAAACCCAGCAUGAGUUAUGUCAUGUUAUCGAUAUGUGAAUACAUAGCAUAUCAGAAGGCACACCCGGAGAACUGAAACAUCUUAGUACCCGGAGGAAGAGAAAGAAAAUUCGAUUCCCUUAGUAGCGGCGAGCGAAACGGGAAGAGCCCAAACCAACAAGCUUGCUUGUUGGGGUUGUAGGACACUCUAUACGGAGUUACAAAGGACGACAUUAGACGAAUCAUCUGGAAAGAUGAAUCAAAGAAGGUAAUAAUCCUGUAGUCGAAAAUGUUGUCUCUCUUGAGUGGAUCCUGAGUACGACGGAGCACGUGAAAUUCCGUCGGAAUCUGGGAGGACCAUCUCCUAAGGCUAAAUACUCUCUAGUGACCGAUAGUGAACCAGUACCGUGAGGGAAAGGUGAAAAGCACCCCGGAAGGGGAGUGAAAUAGAACCUGAAACCGUGUGCUUACAAGUAGUCAGAGCCCGUUAAUGGGUGAUGGCGUGCCUUUUGUAGAAUGAACCGGCGAGUUACGAUUUGAUGCAAGGUUAAGCAGUAAAUGUGGAGCCGUAGCGAAAGCGAGUCUGAAUAGGGCGUUUAGUAUUUGGUCGUAGACCCGAAACCAGGUGAUCUACCCUUG